GGACUGACUCCCUCAGAUGUUGGUGGAUCUAGUACAGGUUAUAUCUCUGCCAUUGCCUCAUCUAAAAUUGACAUUUUCUCUCAUAGAUGACCACAGAGGAUGAUGGAUUAAUCCAGUCAAAUGACCUGUGCUAAUGUUUUAUGAGAAUUGUGGAUAAUCUGGUAGGGACCACGCUUCCGACUGAAGUUAAGAGAAAUUUUUGUUGCUGGUGUCCCACUUCUGGGCCAUGUCAAGAACUUUCCAAUGCACACCUGUUCAAUGCUUAUUCAACGGAGUGGAGAAAUAAGUGAAAAAGGACCACCAGCUUCAUGGCUCAGUGGGGACAGGAUGGCUAGGGUGGGCUGGCAUUGGGCAUUUCCCUUCCCCCAUAUGGAGGGCUAGAGCUGACCUUCCGGAAUGGCGGUUUCCCUUCUCCAGGUCAAAUUUUCCUGCCCUGGCACUGGUUCCUGAGUGGUGUCUGCUAAGUGAGUUUCUGCCCUGGUAAGUCAAUGGCUCCCAGGACUUGCCUGUUGGUCUCUCCAACCUUAGGGGCAGAGAUUUGCCAUGUCCUCCCUUCUCUUAUGGAUCCAAGAAUUGUUGAUUUUACAGUGUGUUUAGCUUUUUACUUAUCUUUAGAAUGGAAUGACUACUGCCAAGCUCUUUAUAUGCAGAAUGGGAAAUGACUUGAAAUCAGUUUUUAAUGAGACGUUGAGGUUCUUGCUAAUGAGCAUUAAAGGUUAUUUUUAGGUUAAUAAGUCUAAGAAAAAAGGAGAGCAGAGGAAGAAGCAAGAGGGGUAGGAAAGAAAGGUAGAACAUCAGAAGUCCCUAAAUGGAAACUGCGGUGCAAGAGAGAGCCCCUUUACAGAAGGUGUAAGGGCAGUGGGUCUGAAGAAGGACUGCUGUGGGCGCCAAGGGUUACAUGGGAUCAGAGACCUUGCCAGUCAACUGCCCAGUGUUCCCAUGAAAGAGAACUUCACAUGGCCUGCACCCAGGACCUCUGCUGAUCAUUCAGUCUGUACUCUGGGAGAGCUGUCCUCUAUACCACGUCCUCACCAGCUCAGUAUCCAGCAAGACAGUGCCCAGACCAUGCCACCAGUCAUUGCUUUCUUCUUCUGCAUGGCUGCCUACAUGACUAUCCUUGCAGUAUCCUUAGGGCAAAAGGAACCUAUUCGUGUGGUGGUGGUAUGAGAGGAAUGGGGUUGACAAAGAACCCUACACCUGAGCAAUGGGGAGUGGACUCCACUGUUCUGUCUGAAUACACAGGAAAAGGUCUGGAAGGAAAUAUACCAGAUUUGUAUAAGACAUUUUAACCUCUCUGUUGGACAAAGUUUCCCUCAAUAUUUUUGUAUGAUUGUCUUGAAUUUGUUUCUAAAUAUCAGCAAGUUUAAUGACUAUUCAUGGCCUCAAUGAAGAGACAACAGGCCCCAACUGGAGUCACUUGUGUUAAGACCCACAUUAACAAAUCAAGACUUAGUAUUAGCCUAAUUAACCUAAUUGUAGUUUAAUCAGUCUAUCUGGAAUUACCUGAUGAGUAUUAGUGAUAUGAUCUGUGUGAUAGGCAGCCCCUGUCUUCCUCCAAAGGAAGGUGACUGUGCCUGAAACAAUCGACUCUUUGUUAGAACCUUGCUUUUUCUGCCCCUUUUUGCCUAUAGCAGCCUUCCAUUUGGUACAGCUCCUUGGAUCUCCUUUCUACUUGCUAGAUGCAGUGCUGCCCAUUCAUGAAUCAUUAAAUAAAGCCAGUUAGAUCUUUCAAGUUCACACAGUUGAAUUUUUUUUUUUUUUUUAACAAUUGAUUUUCACAGUUAAAAUAUACUUUGCAUUUUCAUUUUUAUUUUACUGAAGUUAUUUUCUUUGGGGACAGCUUCUCUGUAUAAAUUUUAUAAUGAAAGUUUUAUUGAUGAUGGCACACAGUAUCUGACCUUUACUUGGGUGCAUUAUUACUACUAAGUC